CUGAACCAGCCAAGUAGCGUGAAGGAUGACUGCCCUAUGGGUUGUAAACUUCUUUUAUACGGGAAUAAAGUGAGCCACGUGUGGCUUUUUGUAUGUACCGUAUGAAUAAGGAUCGGCUAACUCCGUGCCAGCAGCCGCGGUAAUACGGAGGAUUCGAGCGUUAUCCGGAUUUAUUGGGUUUAAAGGGAGCGUAGGCGGACGCUUAAGUCAGUUGUGAAAGUUUGCGG
rnacentral:rRNA from 1 species